CCCUUAGACGUUCUGGGCCGCACGCGCGCUACACUGACCAGUGCAACAAGCAUCCGUCCUUGGCCGACAGGCCCGGGCAAUCUUUGAACGCUGGUCGUGAUGGGGAUAGACUUUUGCAAUUUUUGGUCUUCAACGAGGAAUUCCUAGUAAACGCAAGUCAUCAACUUGCAUUGAUUACGUCCCUGCCCUUUGUACACACCGCCCGUCGCACCUACCGAUUGAAUGGUCCGGUGAAGCCUCCGGAUUGGCGCGCACCUCGGUGCCGCCGAGAAGUUGGCUAAACCUUACCAUUUAGAGGAAGGUGAAGUCGNAACA
rnacentral:rRNA from 1 species